AUUGAACGCUAGCGGGAUGCCUUACACAUGCAAGUCGAACGGAGUGGCGAACGGGUGAGUAAUGUAUCGAAACGUGCCCAGUAACGGGGGCUAACUACGGGGAAGCGUAGCUAAUACCGCAUGCUAUUGGUGCAGUCGAUAUCGGAUUAGCUAGUUGGUGGGGUAACGGCCCACAAAGGCGAGGAUCCGUAGCCGAUUUGAGAGGGCGACCAGCCACACUGGGACUGAGACACGGCCCAGACUCCUACGGGAGGCAGCAGUGGGGAAUUUUGGGCAAUGGGGGAAACCUUGCUGCGGACAGCCGGGGUGGUGGAUAAGGGCUUCCGGGCUUUAAGGCACGUUUUGCAGGAAAGCGGUACCUGAAGAAUAAGCACCGGCUAACUACGUGCCAGCAGCCGCGGUAAUAC
rnacentral:rRNA from 1 species